AUUGAACGCUGGCGGCAGGCCUAACACAUGCAAGUCGAACGAGUGGCGUACGGGUGUGUAAUGUCUGGGAAACUGCCUGAUGGAGGGGGUUAACUACUGAAAACGGUAGCUAAUACCGCAUACCAUGGGAUGUGCCCCGAUGGGAUUAGCUAUUAGGUGGGGUAAAGGCUCACCUAGGCGACGAUCCCUCGCUGGUCUGAGAGGAGGACCAGCGACACUGGACCUGAGAAACGGGCCAGACGCCUACGUGAGGCAGCAGUGGGGAAUAGUGGACAAUGGGCGAAAGCCUGAUACAGCCAUGCCGCGUGUAGGAAGAAGGCCUUCGGUUUGUAGAGUACUUUCAGCUGGGAGGCGGUACCCGCAGAAGAAGCACCGGCUAACUCCGUGCCAGCAGCCGCGGUAAUAC
rnacentral:rRNA from 1 species